rnacentral:tRNA from 1 species
CGGUAGACGCUACGGACUUGAAAAUCCGUUGGCUUUAUUGACCAUGAGGGUUCAAGUCCCUCUACCCCCA